UUUUAUGAGAGUUUGAUCCUGGCUCAGGACGAACGCUGGCGGCGUGCCUAAUACAUGCAAGUCGAACGCUUCUUUUUCCACCGGAGCUUGCUCCACCGGAAAAAGAGGAGUGGCGAACGGGUGAGUAACACGUGGGUAACCUGCCCAUCAGAAGGGGAUAACACUUGGAAACAGGUGCUAAUACCGUAUAACAAUCGAAACCGCAUGGUUUUGAUUUGAAAGGCGCUUUCGGGUGUCGCUGAUGGAUGGACCCGCGGUGCAUUAGCUAGUUGGUGAGGUAACGGCUCACCAAGGCCACGAUGCAUAGCCGACCUGAGAGGGUGAUCGGCCACAUUGGGACUGAGACACGGCCCAAACUCCUACGGGAGGCAGCAGUAGGGAAUCUUCGGCAAUGGACGAAAGUCUGACCGAGCAACGCCGCGGGAGUGAAGAAGGUUUUCGGAUCGUAAAACUCUGUUGUUAGAGA
rnacentral:rRNA from 1 species